ensembl:lncRNA
AUGGCUGACGACAGCGUUCUCGAUGUCCCUAUCACCCUUUCCCUUCUGUACGACCUCAUGUUCUUGGCAUUGGGGGUCUCCCUGCUCAACAUCAUCUGGCACCUACUGGCUGGCAGACGACGCUUGCGAUUGAGGAGAUGGUGGCAGCGAGGAGCAAGAGCACCGGAGUCGGGUGCCAAAAGACAGGCAUGUGGGCCACGGUGCUGCUGCCCCAGCUGCAACCGCUGCAGCAAAGCUGACCAGGAGCUGCAGGAGCUGGUGCCGUCGGCGCGGCCUGAGCAUGUGGCUACUCCGGGCCCUGACUUAUGGCAGGCGGCCCGGAGGGACCUGGCGGAGCCGGUGGAGCAGGGCGGCCCGUCCUGCUGCUACUUUGCAAACGUCCAGAGCUCUCCCAGAAGAAACAACAACUCCAUUAAUGUGCACCGGGGAGCCUUGAGAGAGCCGGUGUCUGUCUUUGCCCCGGGACGUAUGCGGACUGUCGCAUCCCACAGGGAUUGCAAAAUCGAGCCCUGCUGGUUGGAGCCCUUUCUGCUGCAAGGUCUGGGCCCCUCUUCGCAGGACAGGGGGGAUGCCAUUGUGGCCAGCGUGUGGGAGAAGCAAGCGCAGGGGCUGGGUGCGUAUGGCAAGACCACUGAUGCAUGCAGAGCUGGAGGGCGACCAGGCUAUUUCCCUAGUCAGGGUCUCUGCCUGCCAGGUCUGACAGCAACGAAACCCACCCAGACAAAGAGUCAAGGUGGCAAGGCAGCCAGCAGAGCAGUAGCAGAUUCCACCGGGGUCUGCUCGUCCAGCCGGCCACCAGCAGAGGACUGCAUUGUGCGUGAGAACAUCCUCCUCCCAGACGGGCGGCUGCCCCAGAGGCCGGAUAAUCUCGUGCACCUUCCGGAGUGGGCGGUGUUUCCACCAGCCCUUCGCAACACCUACACAGACGCUGCGGUACUGGCAGCAAGACCAGCUCCAGUCCGAAGAGAUGUUGGUGUUGGUACUUCUGCGAGAGAGGAGAACUUGCCGCGUUCCUUUGGUGUCCAAAGAAGCGCGGGAAAACGAAGCAGGCAGUGUGAACAGGAUCAGGACAGGCAAGUGCUGAGUGAACACCGGCCACGUGGGGCCCUCGAGAGCUGGUGUUCAAAGGCAGGAAACAGAGAAGAGAAGCACGGUGCAGUCAACUCCUCUAGCCGGCCACCAGCAGAGGACUGCAUUGUGCGUGAGAACAUCCUCCUCCCAGACGGGCGGCUGCCCCAGAGGCCGGAUAAUCUCGUGCCCCUUCCGGAGUGGGCGGUGUUUCCACCAGGCCUUCGCGAGAUCACCAAGGAGCUUCCAGGACAAACACCAUCCAAGAGACGCACAGGGAAACCAAGUCAGCUCCCUGAAGACGAACAACGCUUGCAAGUCCAGAGGGAAUGCAGGCCACUCAGAGUCGAAAACAGGGCUUCCACGGUGGGAAAAAGAGAAGAGAAGCACGGUGCAGUCAACUCCUCUAGCCGGCCACCAGCAGAGGACUGCAUUGUGCGCGAGAACAUCCUCCUCCCAGACGGGCGGCUGCCCCAGAGGCCGGAUAAUCUCGUGCCCCUUCCGGAGUGGGCGGUGUUUCCACCAGCCCUUCACAACACCUACACAGACGCUACGGUAGUGGCAGCAAGACCAGCUCCAGUCCGAAGAGAUGUUGGUGUUAGGUCUUCUGCGAGAGAGGAGAACUCGCCGCGUUCCUUUGGUGCCCAAAGAAGCGUGGGAAAAGAAAGCAGGCAGACACUGCCACCAGAGCUAGGAACAGUUGUGCAUGACAACAUCUGGCAAACAGAUAAGGCCAUACAUUGGUGGCAGCAGAAGGCCCAGCACCAGUUGGAUUGUCCAUGCAUCCACCGGAAGAUCCCCAAAUCCACAAGGCAGUAAGACCACCAGCAGCAGCACCUUCAAGCCUGGCUAAAGAAGGUGACUGCAGGAGUGCAAGCAGCCAGUGUCCAAGCUCUGCCCUCAGUGACAGGAGAAGUGCAGAGCAGACAGGCAGGCCCUCCAUGAACAGGCAGCACUCGUGGAGGCUGGUGGCACCCACACCCUCCAGCAGAAAUUGUCAGGGUUCCAAGCCAGGCAGGGGAGCCACAGAGCAGCCCCCACGGCCACCCGUGGAUGAGAGACUUUGUCAACCAAACCAGGGUCAACGCUGGUGGGACGACAAGGCCCAGAAGCCUUCUGCAUUGCCUGUGUCCAAGCCCCAAGUGCUUCCAGGUGCCCAUAAGACAGCGGGAUCAAAGGGAAAUGCAGAGAAGCCAGACCCGCCCAGCAUGAAAAAGCUGCACCAGCACGUGCAGACGACUCCCAGGCAUGCCGGGAAAGAGAUCUGGGGCUCCAAGCCAGGCAGAGGUGCCAAAAAGCAGCCUCAUGGGAUCUGCUCCUGCUUUCUGCCACCACUGCAUGCCACCAGGGUGCGUGGCAUUCUCCUUGGUCCCCAUGAGAGGCUACACUGCCGGUAGGAGGUGGCCCAGCAGGUUCCUGCGUUGCCCUUGGCCUCCUCCUCUUGGACUUCCCAACUUGAAUACAGGGCAGCAGCACAGGCAGCACAAACAGCUUCAGUGCUGCCAGAGGAGGACAGUGGCUGUCAAGCCAGCGUCACCACUGUGGGAAGUGCAAAGAGCCCCAGCCCCAUGCUACUUCCUUCCCCUAGUGCACAUCAAGGAAGCAGAGAGGCCAUGGGUGCCCACGGCUUUUGUCAUCAGCAUCCAAUUGGCUCUGGGAGGGCCAAGCGUGGAAGGAUGUAGCGGAGGACUGGGGAACAGACAGCUCGCAGCUACAGUCCCAUUAAAUCCUGUUUCUAGCCAUCCUGC